rnacentral:rRNA from 1 species
AAUGGGGGAAACCCUGACGCAGCAACGCCGCGUGGGUGAUGAAGGCCUUCGGGUCGUAAAGCCCUGUCGGGAGGGAAGAAAUGAUUGAGAGCUAAUACCUCUUGGUCUUGACGGUACCUCCGAAGGAAGCACCGGCUAACUCCGUGCCGGCAGCCGCGGUAAUACGGAGGGUGCAAGCGUUGUUCGGAAUUAUUGGGCGUAAAGCGCGUGUAGGCGGUCUUUUAAGUCUGAUGUGAAAGCCCCGGGCUCAACCUGGGAAGUGCAUUGGAAACUGGGAGACUUGAGUACGGGAGAGGAGAGUAGAAUUCCUAGUGUAGCGGUGAAAUGCGUAGAUAUUAGGAGGAAUACCAGUUGCGAAGGCGGCUCUCUGGACUGUAACUGACACUGAGGCACGAAAGCGUGGGGAGCAAA